UCGACCCUGAUCUUGCAACAGACAAAGAC
rnacentral:piRNA from 1 species